ensembl:lncRNA
AUGUGGAAGGAAGAGAACAGGAUUCACAUCCAGUGCAAGGUGAAGGAGAGCGGAGACGUGGUGCUGUCUGGAGCGUAUAUAGAUCUGCAGACGGAUGUGUGUGUCAGCGCCGGGUUUCCGCAGGAUGUUCAGAUAUUUGAGCUGGAAAACAAGGGGAAGAGCAUCAUUCUCUGCGGUGAAGAAGAACACCAUGACCUUCAUCAAAUUAAAAUCUCUUCUGUUUGUUUCCGAGUCGAACGGUGACAGUGAACAGUCCACCUGGAUGUUCCCGUGUUUGGCUCCUGGGAUGAUCUGAAUCCUCUCAAAGUCCCUCCCCAGGAUGAUGAUGUCACAGCCAGAGUAGGACGCCUGUCCCACGAGCCCAGGACAAAACAACACACACAGUCUGACACUGAUAAUCACAGAGAGUUCUACAUAUCAUCUGAAUCCAAUGCUUUGCUACAUUUUUUUUUUUUUUUUUUUAAAUCGCGGAAUCAGAGUUUUAAAUGUUUUCAUUUACGGUUAAUAAUCUCUGCUGCUGCUGUUACAGUCACGAACAGCUUGAAUCAGCUGGACUUUUUGAGUCAAAUAUUUUGACAAACUUUUUUUAGCAUUUUUAUUUUAUAUUAUUUCUUAAAAUAUCAGACAAUAUCUGCCUUCAUUUUGCAUGCAUUUUGUUUAUUCUCGCUUAUAAACUUUUUGUUGCUCUUUUUGUUGUGUUGUUUUUUUAUCCUCAUUUGUAAGUCGCUUUGGAUAAAAGUGUGCUAAAUGAAUAAAUGUAAAUGUAAACUUAUCAAAUUAUGGCUUCUUUUCCUUAAAUGAAUAUCGAAAUAUUCAACUCAAAUAAACGCUUGUAUGAUGCAGGUACAACUAUGCAACUAUGGCAGCUGAGAAGGCCAUUCUUUGUGUUCUUUGUGAAGAAUUUUCGGAGCCUGAUGAAGUCGGUAUAAAUAUGUGUUUAAUGCUACAAAAUAUGCCCGAUGUUACAGUUACUGCACUAGCCUGUCCCGUACCGGGAUUGCUGAAGCUGAAAUAAGCACACAUCUUACCUAAUUCAGACUAAAACACAUCUAUUUAGCCUCACAAAAUGACUUUAUUUAUAGUUCAUACGGUUUUAAUACCCUAUAUUUCUUUCUAAUUUUUAGGAAAAGUACUUAAUUACCAUUGUUUAUUUCUAUACCAAAUGUCAUACACUUGCAUUGGAGCUAAAAAUAUAAACAACUACAUCAUUAUGUUGAUAUCCUAUAUUUUUACAAUAAAACUUACGACAAACACGUCUUCUAUCCUCAGUUUAUGCGUAUACCGAGCUGCAACGAACACAUUUGUACAUUAUUUUCCUUGAAGCCAUUGUGCGAGUUCACUUUAAUUCCGCGUGCUUUAUAUACAUGUUGCUGCUGAUUGGACUGCAGUUCUGACACACCCACCAAACAAGAGAAAAUGCAUCUCAAACCCCGGUGCACACCGUUUCCAGAAAAAAUGACGUUCCACCCGGAAACCGUAGCAAAACAUUGCGCACUGUUGACCGGAUUUGCAAAAAUUUGAUUCUAUCAUGUACUUGUCUAGAUCAACUUUUAAUAAAGAGAAAAGAGGUUUAGAGACAAAUUUUUGUUAAUAGCCUGUUAGUAAUCCCACAGUCCAUAGCAUCAGUAACUGUAUAAUUUAGUAAGGGAAAAU